rnacentral:lncRNA from 1 species
AUGAGUCGACUCAUCGACUUCACGCUGAUGUUACUUUACAGACCAACUUCGGAAAACUGUAGUUCCACCAUAGAAACGCUAGAGGUCAGCAAUAAUCCCCGUCGCACAAUGACGUCGGUUAGGAAAAGUGGAGUCGAAUUCAUUUUAAACAGCGCUGUCUUUUUCCUGGAGAAGGCGUAUGACCGGGUCCCCCGGGAGAAACUGUGGGAGGUGCUGCGGGAGUAUGGGGUAAGGGGGUCUAUCCUCAGGGCCAUCCAAUCUUUGUACUCCCAAAGCGAGAGCUGUGUUCGUGUUCUCGGCAGCCAGUCAGUUUCGUUCUCAGUGGGUGCUGGUCUCCGCCAGGGCUGCGCCUUGUCACCAAUCCUGUUUGUGAUAUACAUGGACAGGAUAUCGAGGCGUAGUCGUGGUGGGGAGGGGUUGCAGUUCGGUGGUCUGAGGAUCUCGUCACUGCUUUUUGCAGAUGAUGUGGUCCUCAUUGGAUCAUCGGCCUGUGACCUUCAGCACUCACUGGAUCGGCUGGCGGCCGAGUGUGAAGCGGCUGGGAUGAGGAUCAGCACCGCUAAAUCUGAGGCCAUGACUCUUAGCAGGAAACCGGUGGAUUGCUUACUCCGGGUAGGAAAUGAGUCCUUAGCCCAGGUGAAGGAGUUCAAGUACCUCGGGGUCUUGUUCGCGAGUGAGGGUACUAUGGAGCGUGAGAUUGGCCGGAGAAUCGGAGCAGCGGGGGCGGUAUUGCGUUCGCUUUACCGCACCGUUGUAACGAAAAGAGAGCUGAGCCGCAAGGCAAAGCUCUCGAUCUACCGGUCGAUCUUCGUUCCUAUCCUCACCUAUGGUCAUGAGGGCUGGGUGAUGACCGAAAGGACGAGAUCGCGGGUACAAGCGGCCGAGAUGAGUUUUCUCAGAAGGGUGGCUGGCGUCUCCCUUAGGGAUAGGGUGAGAAGCUCAGCCAUCCGUGAGGAACUCGGAUUAGAGCCGCUGCUCCUUUACUUAGAAAGGAGUCAGCUGAGGUGGUUCGGGCAUCUGGUAAGGAUGCCCACUGGGCGCCUUCCUUGGGAGGUGUUUCAGGCACGUCCAGUGGGGAGGAGACCCCGGGGAAGACCCAGGACUAGGUGGAGAGAUUAUAUCUCAACACUGGCCUGGGAACGCCUCGGGAUCCCCCCGUCAGAGCUGGUCAAUGUGGCCCGGGAAAGGGAAGUCUGGGGCCCCCUGCUUGAGCUGCUCCCCCCGCGACCCGACCCCGGAUAA